rnacentral:lncRNA from 1 species
AUUUAAAUGCUAAAGGGCAGCUCCUCUACUGAAGGCAACUGAAGCCAAGAGAGCUGUGACAGUUUAUGCCAACUGAAGAUUUGCCUUUAAGUAAAUGUUUUAAACUUUUCACUAAGGAGACUAAAAUAAGCCAUAGCAUGAAACGUUAAGAGUAAAGAAUGAACUCUGGAGACCAGAGGGAUUUGGGAAAUGAAAUGAGAUCCAUCUUACUGGCACAUUUCCCCCUCCGUCUAUUUUUGGAAUUUAAAAAAUUCCCCCAGAUUUGUCUUCUACAGACCAGCUUUUUGUUCACAGACCAGCACUGAGCAGCCUCCUCUUUCACACAGGGCAGGCAUACUGAUACGCUUUGUGAAAACUAAACUAGGAACACCUGCAGAGCCCCCUGGUGAGCCCCAGUGGAGGGGCUCUGAACUGAAGAGGAACACAUCUAAUGAUGCCCUGAAGUUUAGUCUGAGUAUCUCCAAAUGGAGCAUAGCUGGAAAAACAAAUCAUCUGGGGAAUGCAUUGUCUGGUUGCACAGGCCACAGCUCCAAACAGGAUGUAGUGAAGCUGCAUGGGAAACUGAUCCAGCUGUGCUACAGGAUGGAGCAGGUUCAAGUGUGUCAGCUCCUGGUCUGAAUGUGGGAACAGCAGAAACACGCUGUGUAGGUGGCUUACACUGUGUAGCCAGUGAACGUGCCUGCAGAUACAUGGGCAAUACCAGCAACAAAGGCUACUUCCUUACCAGCCCACGCACAAAUCUGUUCCACGCUCCGCAUGGGAAGAGGCAGCAGCAUCGCGGAUGAGCGAAGGCUGCAGGGUGCUGAUAUUUGGGUGAAAAUCCACACCCCACUGUGUUAUUCAUCCCUCACCAGUCCUCCAAAAUCUCCUCCCCCAGGAUAGUUUUUUGGACAGCAUCGGGAUAAAUUCUGCUGGAGGAUGGCAGAACAGGCCAAGGAGUGAGUCAAAAAUACCCACUCGUUUGAGGGAAUGAAGUAGUGUGGAAGGACUGGGUGCUAUUAAGUUGAAAGCUGUUUGUGUAGCACGGCUGCCUAACAAACAACCCUUUCAAAAUCUCUGAAUAAGAAUAAUGAUAUUUACUCCAAUCUUGUAGACACAGCCUUGCUCUCUUCCCAAAGCGAGGGCAAGGUCUAUGCACAGCCAGCUUCUCUGUGGGAAAGGAGAUCUGUUCAGCGCCAACGUGAACGUUGCCAGAAUGGGGUUCACAGUUGCAUGAUAGGAACACAGCAGUACUGGGCUGGGGGGAUUUGAUGCAAGCACUAACCUACUUAAUCCACUGGAGACUGCCUGGCUGUUCUUGUCUGCUUGCCAGAAGGGCUCUCAUGUCUGUGCCUCACUGCAGGGAUGCCCUGUGUUAGUUCCUCUUCCAUUUUUCACUUCUAUUUUUCACCUAGGAAACCUCCUUACGCAGGACUGAAUGUCCUUGAAAGCAUCAGUUAUAACAAACAACCAGGGGCAGAUCUCAGACGAAUGCUGCACAAGUCAGAGGUCACAGCUGGAACUGCUUUUAGGGGAAAUUCAAAAUUACUGUCAAAAGCAGUUCUCUCUCAUUUUAAUUGUAAUUGGUUAAUCUCAUUUUAUUUGCCUUGUGGCUAUGGCUGU